rnacentral:lncRNA from 1 species
AGGUGGUGGAUUACUUGACUCAAUACUCGGGUAUAAAGCCUGGUGACCUCGAUGCCAAAAUUUCCUCCAAGCACCUAACAACUCUCAAGUCUACCUACUUAAAGCUUCGUUUUCUCAUUGACAUUGGAGUCAAGUUUGUGGGUCAUGGCCUGCAGAAGGACUUCCGGGUCAUCAACCUGAUGGUUUGGCAGGGCUCUUUUAAGAGUCUUCUUGUGAGAGUGGGCCCCUCAGGGUAUACAUUGUGCCUUUAGAGAAUGGGGAAUUAUAGGUCCCCUACCUUAAGUCUCCCCCUCUUUUAUCCUUGCCAGGUGCCCAAGGACCAAGUCCUUGACACUGUCUACCUGUUCCAUAUGCCCCGAAAACGAAUGAUUUCCCUGCGAUUCCUUGCUUGGUACUUUCUGGAUGCAGCUGUCUUCUCCUCAGUGCUGGCGCUCUGACUACCCUUCCCAAAGAACCACGGCCCUCUCCCUUUACUGUUCUAUA